AUGAAAAUGUUGAGUCGAAACUAUCGAGGCUUGGGUCAGCCUCGUACAGUUCAAGAGUUGGUGUGCCUCUCUAAGAUGCACAGACCCAAUGUUACCUUUUUAUCUGAAACAAGGAAAAAUAAAGAGUAUGUUGAGAGUUUGCGCUACAGGUUGGAUAUGAAUAAUGUGUUUACUGUUUCUGGCCAUGGUAAAGGUGGAGGACUAGCUGUGUUUUGGGAUGAGGCCUACUCUUGUGAGCUGAAAAAAUAUGGGGAUCAUUUUAUUGAUAUGUAUGUCGGCAAGGGAGAUGGAACAAAGUGGAGGUGCACUUUCAUUUACGGUGAGCCUAAGGCGAGCCAAAGGUACGUUAUGUGGGAUCUCUUGAGAUGGUUAAAACCUCUUGGUGUAGGAGCUUGGUUUAUGGUGGGAGAUUUUAACGAAGCUAUAUAUGGCAAAAUGAGCAUUUUUCUCGCCACAAGAGGUCUACUAGGCUUAUGGCUAAUUUUAUAG
rnacentral:rRNA from 1 species